UACGUAGGGUGCGAGCGUUAAUCGGAAUUACUGGGCGUAAAGCGCGUGUAGGCGGCUCUGUAAGUCGGGUGUGAAAUCCCACGGCUCAACCGUGGAAGUGCACUCGAAACUACAGGGCUAGAGUCCUGGAGAGGAAGGUGGAAUGCUUGGUGUAGAGGUGAAAUUCGUAGAUAUCAAGCGGAACACCGGUGGCGAAGGCGGCCUUCUGGACAGUGACUGACGCUGAGA
rnacentral:rRNA from 1 species